GGGGGAUAUUGCACAAUGGAGGAAACUCUGAUGCAGCGACGCCGCGUGAGGGAUGACGGCCUUCGGGUUGUAAACCUCUUUCAGCAGGGAAGAAGCGAAGGUGACGGAACCUGAAGAAGAAGCGCGGGCUACCUAGGGGCAAGCAGCCGCGGUAAUACGUAGGGCGCAAGCGUUGUCCGGAAUUAUUGGGCGUAAAGAGCUCGUAGGCGGUUAGUCGCGUCUGCUGUGAAAACUCGAGGCUCAACCUCGGGCUUGCAGUGGGUACGGGCUGACUAGAGUGCGGUAGGGGUGACUGGAAUUCCUGGUGUAGCGGUGGAAUGCGCAGAUAUCAGGAGGAACACCGAUGGCGAAGGCAGGUCACUGGGCCGCAACUGACGCUGAGGAGCGAAAGCAUGGGGAGCGAACA
rnacentral:rRNA from 1 species